AGUAAUAUCUGAGAGGCCCUUAAAGUCAUCAUCUUUGUAAGCAAGGUUUGCCUCAAUAUCAUUAUAUGUAUUUGAUAGAGAUGCUUCAUCAUCAUCACCUCUAAAGGUCAAGUGCACUUCCACAUCAUUUUAUUUUCUUUUAAGGAAAGCUUGAUAAAGUUUGACAAAAUGAUCAGGCGUACGACAAACACGUGCCCAAUGACCUUUCAUACCACAUCGGUGACAAAUAUUAACUUUACCCUUUGAAGAAUUAUUUUGAGAACCUUUAUUGUUCUUAUGUUUAUUUUCACUAUUAUGACGAUAAUUAUUUCAUCCUUUGCCACGUCCUCGUCCAUGGCCUCGACCACGACCGCGAUAAUAAUUUUGCCUUAUUUCAGGCUGAUCAUUUGCUGCUACACAUUUGCUUCAGGGAAUGGAGCAGAUCUAGUGGGACAAGCUUCAUGAUUUUUUCUUAACAAG
rnacentral:lncRNA from 1 species